rnacentral:tRNA from 1 species
GGCGGUGUAGCUCAGUGGUAGAGCAGGGGAAUCAUAAUCCCAAGGUCGGAAGUUCGAUCCUUCCCACCGCCACCA